CUCUGGUGAUGAGGUGUGAGAAGUGAGUGAGAAGCGACAAUCUUUGGCUCUGGUGAUGAGGUGUGAGAAGUGAGUGAGAAGUGACAAUCUUUGGCUCUGGUGAUGAGGUGUGAGAAGUGAGUGAGAAGUGACAAUCUUUGGCUCUGGUGAUGAGGUGUGAGAAGUGAGUGAGAAGUGACAAUCUUUGGCUCUGGUGAUGAGGUGUGAGAAGUGAGUGAGAAGUGACAAUCUUUGGCUCUGGUGAUGAGGUGUGAGAAGUGAGUGAGAAGUGACAAUCUUUGGCUCUGGUGAUGAGGUGUGAGAAGUGAGUGAGAAGUGACAAUCUUUGGCUCUGGUGAUGAGGUGUGAGAAGUGAGUGAGAAGUGACAAUCUUUGGCUCUGGUGAUGAGGUGUGAGAAGUGAGUGAGAAGCGACAAUCUUUGGCUCUGGUGAUGAAGUGUGAGAAGUGAAGAAAAACAAGUCUGCGUCUGUCUGUAGUGAUGGCUUCAUAGACUUGAGUUGCCGAAAUAUCCUACCCCCGUUACGCCCUAGGAGGUGCAUGGCCGACCGCUUAGUCACUCCUGUUCCCUGCCAGCCAAGGCGAAUUUGUGUGUCACGCCGAGCACCUGUUUCCUUUGUAAGACGAUCCCGGUGAGCACCGAGCCAGAAUGGAUGGACUCAGCUUAGCCAUCUGACAAACAGGGAACGUCCAUUACGCCUCGUAAAUAUCUGACGGCCUCGCGCGAUUACCGUGUGUGUAUACUUGUUGGGCAAGCGUAACACACACACACACACACACACACACACACACACACACACACACACACACACA